UGCGUAGAUAUCGUGAGGAAGACCGGUGGCGAAGGCGAGUCUCUGGACAGAUCCUGACGCUGAGGCACGAAGGCUGGGGGAGCGAACAGGAUUAGAUACCCUGGUAGUCCCAGCAGUAAACGAUGUGAGCUUGAUGUGGGGGGAUUCGACCCCUUCCGUGUCGAAGCUAACGCGAUAAGCUCACCGCCUGAGGAGUACGGCCGCAAGGCUAAAACUCAAAGAAAUUGACGGGGACCCGCACAAGCGGUGGAGUAUGUGGCUUAAUUCGAUGCAACGCGAAGAACCUUACCUGGCCUUGACAUGCAUUGUGUCGUCGGUGAAAGCCGGCUAGUCCUGGAAACAGGACGCUUUGCACAGGUGCUGCAUGGCUGUCGUCAGCUCGUGUCGUGAGAUGUUGGGUUAAGUCCCGCAACGAGCGCAACCCUUGUGGUCAGUUACUAACCGGCUUAGCCGGAGGACUCUGGCCAGACUGCCCUGUCAAACGGGGAGGAAGGUGGGGACGACGUCAAGUCAGUAUGGCCCUUAUGGCCAGGGCUGCACACGUACUACAAUGCCCGGUACAAUGUGAACCGAAACCGCGAGGUGGAGGAAAUCGCUCUUGAAAACCGGGCCCAGUUCGGAUUGGAGUCUGCAACUCGACUCCAUGAAGUCGGAAUCGCUAGUAAUGGCGUAUCAGCAACGACGCCGUGAAUACGUUCCCGGGUCUUGUACACACCGCCCGUCACAUCAUGGAAGUCUCCUGUACCCGAAGC
rnacentral:rRNA from 1 species